rnacentral:rRNA from 1 species
AAUGCAAGUCUUAGUACAGCCAAGUAAUGGGCGAGACCGCGGACAGCUCAUUAUAUCAGUUGUUGUUUCUUUGAUGACUUGAAACUUCGGUCUCAAUGGAUAACUGUGGCAAUUCUAGAGCUAAUACAUGUCUAAUAUUAAACAAAUCCCUUUACCUAUGGUCAGGGUGCUGUUAUUAGUAUAAAAAACCUUUUCAUACAUGACAGGACUAGAAGAUUGUGUUUCACAAWUUGUAAAUAAUAUAAUUUUUAAUUCCUACACAAAUCUUUGUUCUGUAAAUCACCUAAAAAUGAGUCUAAAUAACCCAGUUAAGCGCAGUCUUUGCUACUGCUGCUACUACUUUCAAGUGUCUGUCUUAUCAGCUACAUUGUAUGAUAUGUGUAUACUGUGGCGAUAACGGGUGACGGGGAAUCAGGGUUCGAUUCCGGAGAGGGAGCCUGAGAAACAGCUACCACAUCCAAGGAAGGCAGCAGGCGCGCAAAUUACCCACUCCCGGCUUGGGGAGGUAGUGACGAAAAAUAACAAUGUGAGACUCAUCAGAGGCUUCGCAAUUGGAAUGAGUACACUUUAAAUCCUUUAACCAGUAUCCAUUGGAGGGCAAGUCUGGUGCCAGCAGCCGCGGUAAUUCCAGCUCCAAAAGCAUAUAUUAAAGUUGUUGCGGUUAAAAAGCUCGUAGUUCGCUUUCAGUUUUGGACUGAUGGCGUUUUACUGCCAGGUGUAUGCCAUCACGCUCCUAAGCUGCUAAACAACCCAACAAGUUGUGUGCUCUGCCAGCUCGCAUGGGAUGCUCUUAACCGAGUGUCCUGAGUGGCUGGCAUGUUUACUUUGAAAAAAUUAGAGUGCUCAGAGCAGGUUUUACAGCCUGAAUGACUUUGCAUAGUAUAAUAAAACAAGACCUUGGUUCCAUUUUAUGAAAAGGUUUUCAUGAAACCGAGAUAAUGAUUAGUAGAGAUAAGUGGGGGCAUCUGUACUGUGGCGUUAGAGGUAAAAGGAUGUUUUCAUUAAUCAAGAACGAAAGUUAGAGGUUCGAAGGCGAUCAGAUACCGCCCUAGUUCUAACCAUAAACGAUGCUAACCAGCAAUCCGUUGGGGUUAUUCCCAUGACCUGACGGGCAGCUUCCGGGAAACCAAAGUCUUUGAGUUUCGGGGGGAGUAUGGUUGCAAAGCUGAAACUUAAAGGAAUUGACGGAAGGGCACCACCAGGAGUGGAGCCUGUGGCUUAAUUUGACUCAACACGGGGAACCUUACCAGGCCCAGACACUAGAAGGAUUGACAGAUUAAAAGUUCUUUCUUGAUUCAGUGGGUGGUGGUGCAUGGCCGUUCUUAGUUGGUGGAGUGAUUUGUCUGGUUAAUUCCGAUAACGAACGAGACUCUGGCCUAUUAACUAGUCGACGGAUACAUUGUUGUCCAGUUCGCAACUUCUUCUUAGAGGGAUAAGCGGUAUGUCCUAGCCGCAUGAGAUUGAGCAAUAACAGGUCUGUGAUGCCCUUAGAUGUUCUGGGCUGCACGCGCGCUACACUGAAGGGAUCAAUGAGUUUUCCUUCUCCGAGAGGAGAGGGUAACCAGAUGAACCCCCUUCGUGAUAGGGAUUGGGGCUUGCAAUUUUUUCCCAUGAACGAGGAAUUCCCAGUAAGCGCAAGUUAUCAUCUUGUGUUGAUUACGUCCCUGCCCUUUGUACACACCGCCCGUCGCUACUACCGAUUGGAUGAUUUAGUGAGGACCUUGGACUGCAGUCUCUUGCAAAGGAACCUAUUGUGUUCUUUCUUGCAUGUAGCAGACAGAAAAUUGUCCGAACUUGAUUAUCUAGAGGAAGUAAAAGUCGUAACAAGGUUUCC